ACUUUUUUUUAUUAAUGUCAGGGUAACAAUAACAUCAUACAAAUUUGUUACAAAGAGUGUUGUACAGAGAAGUAAAGCAUCAAAUAAGCACAUACAAGAGAAAAAAAGAAUAAUAUUAAUAUAAAAUUAUGUGUUAAGAAAAUUUAAUUCUAGCAAGGACCACGAACAUCCGCGGCACGAACAACUGACGCAUUGUCAAAGGAGCUGUCCAGCGGCUGUGGUGCUGACCAUGCUCCAAAAACUGUCUUUUUAGGCAUUAAAAUGAAACCUUGCACGAUGGAAAAACUAAAUUAGUUUAAUUGUAAACCAAAUAAUUAAAUACUGAACUACAAAACAGUUUAUUACAUCAAGGCGUUCACUGUUUGUUGUGUUAAAUAUCAUCACUGACUGUGAUUCCCUCUGAUAUUCGUCAUGCUGUGACUCGCGUCACCCUUUCCGUCACAUGACUGAGGCCGGUGGCAUAUUUCUUUUGUUGGUUAAGGCGGUGACACGUCAAAAACGCACAUUGUUGAGGGAGAAGCUUAAGGAGGAUUCAUUUUUAGCACAAAUGUUGUGUCGAGGGAGUCAGCCUCGUCUGCAGUAUGUAACAAAACACGGUGAACAUAACAUCCUCGAGCAAAAAUAGCCGUUUUCGCAUUUCGUCAUCUGCUCUAAAUGUGCAGUCAUAUGCAUUUUAGGUGAGCGCGCGCCACACAACAAGCCUGUGUCAUGGAAGACUCUGUCUGUCUUCAGAUAUACGCGUCUUUACGAGGAUAUCCAUGACAUAUUCUGUGAGAAAGUAGAGGCUAUACAGUAGGGUGAGAGCAGUGUCGCUUCUCUCGUGUGAAUGUGUGGGGCGCGUGUAAAAUGACCGAACUAACAACUGUGGGCGAGGAAGGCAGAGCAGAGCCAAAACUCCACUAGAAUUGGACAUCAGGCGGUGCUGUGGAGGAUUCCCGGAGACUGCUGUGUCUCCUAAAACAUUUGAGCUUUUAAAACAGCAGCUUAAUCACCAAUAAACCCAAUGGCAGCAUCGGAGAAAACACUCAUUUACCGGGAGGACACUGAUUGUUUUAAGAACUUGCUUUCUAAAACAGACAUGCGCAUGAUCGCCGCGCAACAAGAGUCAAACUAUGUGGAUCUGAAUGACUUGUUGGAGCUGAGAUUGGCUGAUACAAAAACAGUGACUUUUAACGGCGACUCGGGUCAACUUGCAGCUAAUAAAAGUGCCAGUGGCACGAGCGAUCCACAAGAGGAACGGCGCGUUGAAAAAGUCAAUGAUCGUAAAAGCACACCGGAGGAGGACAGCGCGGAAAAGUCGAGCUCCUUUGAGACAGCGACUUCGGAAGUACCUCAAGUUGAUGACAAAGAUGCAGAUUUUAUCGAGGACAAACCCAAAUCUCCGGAUCUGAAUAACGAACAGUACAAUGACGUUUAUUUGAGCAGCAGAAGUGAAUCGGAUGAUGAGGCCACUGUGGUGCUUUCGGACCACGACACGUCUGAAGUGCGCGAGGAUGAGUCCCACUACAUCACAACCCACGAAAUCCAGCUUUUAGAGUUGGACCACGAUGUGGAUUACGACAUUGAGACGGGAUCCAGCUGGGACCUGGAGGACGAUCUCCGGGUUUACACGUUUGUCGAUUAUGCGUCUUUUGACAGUGAUGAAACGCUGGAGGCAAAAGAGGCGAGCGUGACAGGCAACCAGAGCGCAGCAGUGGUCAGCAGUAAGCCUGAAAGCAAUCUCUGUGACGCGGACAAAUGUGCCGGCUCAGAUGAGGGCCUGUCAAAAAAGCAAAAUACAGCAGGGCAGAUUCACCUGUCAAUCAAAGCCACUUCCCGCGCUGUUAAUGAGCCUGGCAACAAGCAAAAUCAGGCAAAAGACAUAAGCCGGUUUGUUUUGAGAGGAGUAGAUUCAAAGGGGGAGAAGGUGUGUGAUAACACAAAGUGUUUCAUUGCUGUGCCAGGGCGCUUGCACUUUGGCUGCAAACGUAAAAGCAAAGAUGUGAACGAGUAUUCCAGCGGUGCGUCCAGCGCGGUGAGCGAGCUGGAUGACGCGGACAAGGAAGUGCGUAAUCUCACAGCCAGGGCUUUCAAAAGUUUGGCGUACCCAUAUUUUGAUGCAAUAAACUUCAAUACUUCUAGUGAGUCUUCAGUCUCGGAGCAUGGGCCAGGAAUCAACAGCUGGUCAGCGUUUGUUGAUUUUAAGUAUAGCAAGGGGAGAGAUCAAAACUUAGUGGCGCAUAAAGGCUCCACGUCUAAUUUCCAUUUCACUAAAAAGAGAGACGGUAAGGCGAUAACAGGGUUGACGUUAACCAGCAUGCGAGCGCCCCCAGUCGAGAUUUUUGCUUUGAACGGCAAUUUAGUUGGGCAUAAAAACUCAUCGUCCUCCACAAAAAAGAUUGAGCUCAUGGGAAAGUUCUCACAGGGGCAAAGCGGGCUCAUAAGAUUGACAGAAACUCUUAAUAUUCGAAGUAAUGUCAAAUCCGGGCAGCCUGUAAACGAAAGCACUGAAGGAUCACGUUCCACAGAUGAAGUUACAAACACCUUGCCAAGCGCUCAAGGGAGUGAGGCCAGCAAGCCACCCUGCAAUGCAGGGGAAACCAUGGAAGACACGCACAAGAAAGCCAUAUUCGCAUCGAGCCUCCUCAAAAAUGUCAUUUCUAAGAAAAUGCAGUUCGAGCAGGAGCGCAAAAUGGAGAGGGGCGAGAUAUGCGAGACGCACCAUGCACCCUCUCCAUGUUUCGCCACGCACGAGCACGAAGCGCAGAGAGAGAAAGCGGCCAGGAGAGACUCCAGAGGUCUGCAGAGGCAAAGCUCGAAAUUUUCCGAGGCAGACUCCGACUUCACGAUCGUCUGCGUGGACGAUCUGGGCGACAUAGUUGAUGGUAAUUCAAGCGAUGCCAAAGACGAAGGGCGCAAAGAAGAGAGCGCAUCGGAAACCAAUUUAGAGUCGGCGAAUGAUACUAAAAAAGGAGCAUUCGAAGCAUCCAAAAGCACGCUGCUUCGAAGCCAAAAUAGCGCGUUCAGAUCGUGGAGGGACGGCGAGCUAGAGUUUCAAAAGGAACAUAAAAACGACAAAACUCCUGAGGGGGCACCGCUGCGCGAGCGUCCGGCGGAGACCAACUUCUGCGUCGGUUCGGUGAUCGGCAAGCACACUAAAAUGUCACAUUUGUUUGUGCCAAGUAUCCAGCUUCCGUGCGCGGAGAGGGACCUCAGGAAACCACCGCCGAAUGUGAACUAUCAAGCAGACAGCGGGGCUGUGAAGUGUCGCUCGAACACCCUCUAUGUGUCAGACGCCACGCGCAGCGCCGUGACCUCAAAGUCGCCCGAAAUCAAAAUAAGUUUGCGGAGCGUGCGGGACAAGAGCGACCCGUUCAACAUCGCCAAGCUCCUGACGCCAAAUGUAGGCUGCAAGACAGCUGAUGACGCCAGAUGUCAAGCGCUCGCCGCGGCUUUCAAGGGUGAGUCUGACAAAGUGCCACACUUUAUAGUCAGAGACAUUAGAGAUAACAAGCAAGGCAAGCUGCAGACUCCAAUUCACCAGGUUAGAGACGUGCGCAAACUGGUAAAGAGCUCCUAUCACUUUGUGUCUUUAGAUAACAACGAUAACAAAUCAGUGCACUCGACUUGCGAUGGAGAGCAGAAAACAUUAAAGCAGAGUCCUUAUCUGAACUCAUCCCCUCUCACACCCAUAGUCAUUAAAUGCCAGUCUGUGAAUACAAAUAGCAAUGUGAAGCAAGCCGGAAAUUCAAUAGAGCCCCCCAAGAGACGAUUUCCAGAUGAUCUAGUUGAUACUGACAGGUCCUCUCCUCAUGCUGCAGUAGCUAACAGGCUGCCAAAGCAAGAGGUUCCAGCUGGAUUAAAAAUUGAGACGAGUGCAAAAAACCAAGACAAAACAAGCGACACCAGCGAGAAAAAACAUGAACCCAAGAAGACUAACCAAGCUGCUUUUGAGAAACUGCAAGCCGCCGUCAAAACGAUGGAGCAGCUGUAUGUUUUUGACAGGAACGAGUGGAAGAGAAAGACAGAGCCACGGCCACUAACAGACAGCCACGUGCUCUCGCUUAUCACUAGUGAGGAACACACCACAGAGGAUCAGGAAAUCAAUGCAACUGCUGAUCGCUUCCUGAGACGAGAUUCAAACUCAAACCUGAGUGAAACACCAACUAAAAAAGACGACAAGCCAACAAGCACUCCCCUGACCCAAGAAGAGCAAAACGGUCCCAAAACACUCCUGCAGCCAUCAGGAACGCCAUGUAAGCACAUUACCCAGAAACCUGCAGCUACAAAAGCACCGCAAACCCACAUUUCAUCACCAGCGUUCAAAGCGGUGACACCCAAAUCGCCAAAACUACCCGUAUCCUUGAAGAUAUCCCAGGCAAAACGUGUGUUAGAAGAGAGAGAGAGACCCAACGGCAGUGAAACUGAGUUUGCGCCUCUCCAGUUCACCUCCAUGGCAGAUUCAGAGAACUACUUAACCAUCCCUGUAAAGCCUCACGCCAUGUCUGCCAGAAAGCAAACCACGGGCAAAACGGCUCUUUAUACAAUCUCAUCUGGAGGAAGUAAACCCCAAACGGCAAGUCCGCCUUCUUACCUGGUUCACAGUGACAUCAUAAGUCACCCGUCGCCAAAGCGGUCAUCUUUUGUAAUGGAGUCGCGCUCCCCAGAUACCGCCACUAUUUACCACACACCCCUGCCUGUCCCAAUGCAGGCUGCUCAGCCUCAAGUCAUCUGCUUCUCCCCUACAGUCCAACCCUCCCCUGUCCCAUCAGAGCACUUCCAGGCGACCCAAAGAAAGAUGCUGCUGGAUCCCACUACUGGAAGCUACUAUUUAGUAGACACUCCAGUGCAGCCUGCCACCAGGCGCCUAUUUGACCCGGAAACGGGGCAGUAUGUAGACGUCCCAAUGCCACAGCAGCCUCCCAUGACCCCCGUCCCACUUCCGAUAUCCCCUCUUGCCCUUGGCCCGGGAGCUUACGGCCACACCUACAUGUUUUACCCGGGAUACAUGCCAACUACAAUGAUCCCCACACGCACUAUUCAAUCCCAGCUCUCUAUGCAGUCUGAAGCAGACGAUGUGGAUAAAGCCCAUUCUCACAUGGGGCAGCUGGAGGAGGGAGCUUAUAUGGAGAGGCCUUACUAUAUGCCGUCAGGGAAGUCAUCACAAUCGAGCACCAUGGCUCAACAUGUUACCACCAGCAGACUGGCCAAUAGCAAGCAGCCCGUCAUCAGCAUCACGUCCCAGCAAGGGCCGAGGAUCAUCGCUCCACCCUCAUUCGACGGCACCACCAUGAGCUUUGUGGUGGAGCAUCGGUAAAGCCUCACUCACCUACAGCAAGCAUAAAGAAUACAAGUUUGGAAUGACAUGAUGGAGCCACCUGACAUCUCCUUUUCGCUGAGUUUGGUGAAUUUAUUUACUUUUAUUGUGGGAUCUUCUUCAUUAUCUUCAUCAUGACAUGGCACAAUUCUUUGUGUUUGCCCAGUAUAUGCUUUUGUUUUUGUAAAAGUGAUCUUGUUUUGUUUUAGAAAUCUGCUUUACUUAACUUUUUGUGAAAGUGGAUGGGUUUUUCAGGAUUUUCUUCUUUUUUUUUUUUUUUUUUUAAUUCCUGCACAUUUACUGUAUUGGUUAUUGUUAAAAAGAAAAAAAAAACACUUUAGGCACUUUCAGAAUGAUGUCAGUGAAAUAUGUUAAAGCAUCACAAUCAUGGCAAUUCAUAACUUUUUGAUUUAGUGGCUAAUUCAUAUGAAUUCAUGUGAUGCUCAUCGCCCAAUGACAGUUGGGUUUAGGGGCGGGGUUGGCAGCCACGCCUCCAAUUUUAAAGCGUACAUUUUCAUACGACUAAACUUGCCACUAAACUGGGAAAAUGUAAAAAACUUGCGUUUGCUCGUGAAAUCAAACUGAUUAAAGAGAAUGAUGUCUAGCUAGCAAUUGAAUGAAAUCAGGCAAUAAAUAUGUUCACAACUUUGUAAUUUGCAGUAUGAAACAAAAGUAUUUUUGAGAUUUGCCUAAACAGUACACUUUAAAAAAUAAUUAGUUACUUAAAAAGUGAGUAAACAUGUUGCCUUAAAAGCGUCAAGUUGACUUAACUUUAAAAAGUGAGUGAACCUGUUUACCUAAUAAUAGUAAGACAACAUGUUUACUCACUUUAAGUAAAGUCAACUAAUCGAUCUUUACAUUUUAUUCAAUUGAUAGUUUUUUAGACACGUGACCUGUUCAGAGACCAGGCGGGCAAAAAAACAAAAAACAAAAAAAAAACAGGCUGUAAUGGCAGCUACACUGGGAUUUCUGUAGAAACGCAGCACAAACCAGUCAUUUUCCAUCAAGCUGGAUAUGAAUAUAUGAAUCGCAUAUUAACAGAACAAAUCAGAGAAAUUAUCACAAAUAGUAAAUUGUGGGAAAAAUUCUGUAAAAUGUGAAAAAUGUGCAAUCCAUAUUCUGCACCUGCAGCCAUAUUUUAGUCAUUUGAAAUCUUCACAUCCUUGUCAGAGCUCAAAAUUUGGCAACAUUCACAUCUAUCUUGUGGAUAUUUCUCAGCAAUUUGGUGACGGAGUUACAGGGCGUAAGUGUCUGCUUUUAUAUUUGGUGUCAAUUUGUUUUGCUUAUUUGCUGGUAGGGAAAAUCUAUUUGUUCACUUCUGCUAUUUAUACUUUGACUUAGCAUUUCAAUUUAUUCUUUAAUUGCAACCUGCAAAAUAAAAAAUAAAAACUGUAUAAAAAGCAUGCAACAGCACUGACAGUUUUAGAUAUUAUAGAUUGUUAUGGGUAAAUGAUGCUACCUUUUGGUACAAUUUCUCCUUUCUGGCUGUUCUUUCUAUGAAGGAAUUCUAUUAAAGCACAGGCCAGGCAUGUCUCCCCCUCAGUUAGUAACACUGUAUAUUAUUGCACAAGAGUUAUGCGGCUUUUUGGCCAAAAAAUAAGAAAACACUAAGUCCGUGACUUGGCGGUCAGUAGCAGACAGUAAUUUUUUGCCUGCCAGGGGAGCACUGAAAACGAUCAUAUGUGGCCCUAAUAAAAAUGUAUGUUCUAUAAAGAACUUUUAAAUCCAUGGAAACUUUGAAAUGCACUAAAUUUUCUUUACAAUGGCAAUAAAGUUUAUUUGAAUUUUUUAAAAUGGUUUAAAAACGUUUUAAACACUGAAAAAAAUGUUUAGAUUGUAAGAGUGUAUACCAAUAUGUGAAUUUUAUGCCUAAAGUCAACUUUUUAUGUCCCACUUGCACAGUUCCUAUAUGCCUUUCAGCAUAUUCCAUUUGAUAGUGCUUGAACACAAACACUCGACACAUAAAAAUACCCUUUCUGGCCCAAUUGUCUGCAUUUUCCUCUCCAAAAAUGACGAUCUGCAAAAAAAGUCAUUGUACUCAUUGUACAUUGUACUUAAAUUACAGUUUUACCAAUAAACCAAAUCACCAACGUGUAAGUAUAGCUACAGCUUAUAUCCAAUGAUGACCAAUGAAAAAAAAGUUUUGCUAUAUUAUAACUAGGCACCGAUGUUGGUAAAUUGUUAUUUGUUGGUUUUAAACAGGUUCUCUAUAAUGUCAAACACAUGAAAUUUGUCCUGAUAUCCAUCAUUCCUUGACUGAUGACUUUCUCCUGACCUUGAUUCCCAACACUCUUGCUUGAGAGCUUAAUGAUAUACAGUUUUAUAUUGUAAUUUUUUUUGUGUGUUUUUGCUGUUGUUUUGCGCUGGUAUUGAAUAGGCCACACAUUAUGAUGAUAAAUGAUGUGGUGAAUGGGGUGUUUUAGGGGAUGAUGAUAUUCCUCUAUUAUCUCACAAUACCAGUGUGGUUUGAGUGUGUAUGAGAAUGUGUUUACCAAGUCAUUUUGAUCUGGUAUCGGAGUUUUUUCUCAUGGAAGCAGUGAUAAUGAGUCAAUGUCAGGUGAAUUGAUUUCAGUGGAAGAAAUGAAAUAUAUUCAAAGGGAUUUCAUGUAUUUUUUAAUAUAUAGGAUCUGUUCGGAGUGUAACUGUUUAGCAUCAAGUCAAAAUGUCCAUAAUUUCAAGAAUAUUCGGAACAUGCUGAAUAAUAUUGUAAACUGUUUGAACUAUUCAUUUACUAUCAGGGUUUUGCAGUUUUCUUUGUAUUUCAAAAUGCAAUCUGAUGUUUAUUAUAGUACAUUCUAUGUCUUAUCUCUGUGAUAUUCCUAAAUGUACAGCAUUUCAUUCAUUUAAACAUAUUUAUAAAAAUAUAUCGGCGACCCACAUUAAACCCAGUAAAAAUGUUUGGAAUUAUGUGAAA